rnacentral:rRNA from 1 species
UACAGAGGUCUCAAGCGUUGUUCGGAUUCAUUGGGCGUAAAGGGUGCGUAGGUGGCGCUGUAAGUCGGGUGUGAAAUUUCGGAGCUUAACUCCGAAACUGCAUUCGAUACUGCGGUGCUUGAGGACUGGAGAGGAGACUGGAAUUCAUGGUGUAGCAGUGAAAUGCGUAGAGAUCAUGAGGAAGACCAGUGGCGAAGGCGGGUUGCUGGGCUGACACUGACGCUGAGGCGCGAAAGCUAGGGGAGCGAACGGG